UGCCCCGGUGGGGAAUCAAACCCAGGUAACUUUGCUUAUCAGACAAAAAUGUUACCAUCACAUCACCAGAGC